CCCUGCUCAGAUUGAACGCUGGCGGUAUGCUUAACACAUGCAAGUCGAACGGAAACGAUGGAGAAGUUUACUUCUUCAGGCGUCGAGUGGCGGACGGGUGAGUAAUGCAUAGGAAUCUGCCCUAUAGUUUGGGAUAACUACUCGAAAGAGUGGCUAAUACCGGAUGUGGACUACGGUUUAAAGCAGGGGACCUUCGGGCCUUGCGCUAUAGGAUGAGCCUAUGUGGGAUUAGCUAGUUGGUGAGGUAAAGGCUCACCAAGGCGACGAUCUCUAGCUGGUCUGAGAGGAUGAUCAGCCACACUGGGACUGAGACACGGCCCAGACUCCUACGGGAGGCAGCAGUGGGGAAUAUUGGACAAUGGGCGGAAGCCUGAUCCAGCAAUACCGCGUGUGUGAAGAAGGCCUUCGGGUUGUAAAGCACUUUUGUCAGGGAGAAUGGCAGUUGAGGUUAAUACCCU
rnacentral:rRNA from 1 species